rnacentral:rRNA from 1 species
UGGGGAAUAUUGGGCAAUGGGCGCAAGCCUGACCCAGCAAUACCGCGUGUGUGAAGAAGGCCUGAGGGUUGUAAAGCACUUUCAAUGGGGAGGAAAAAGGCAAGUUUAAUACGCUUGCCCUUGACAUUACCCAUACAAGAAGCACCGGCUAACUACGUGCCAGCAGCCGCGGUAAUACGUAGGGUGCGAGCGUUAAUCGGAAUUACUGGGCGUAAAGCGUGCGCAGGCGGCCGCGCAAGUCAGGUGUGAAAUCCCCGGGCUUAACCUGGGAAUUGCGCUUGAAACUAUGUGGCUUGAGUGUGGCAGAGGGGGGUGGAAUUCCACGUGUAGCAGUGAAAUGCGUAGAGAUGUGGAGGAACACCGAUGGCGAAGGCAGCCCCCUGGGCCAACACUGACGCUCAGGCACGAAAGCGUGGGGAGCAAACAGGAUUAGAUACCCACGUAGUCCCUGAGCGGGCUGGCAAGGCGCAU